AUGAGGCAGCCUCUGCCCGUUAUCUUAACGCUCUUUGCCCUCCAUCAGUAUGAGGCUGCCGUCCCUGUCGCAGGAGACUAUGCUCGAGUGCGCCACAGCAAAACGUUCGUCGACAAGACCAACUUCAUCGGACUGUUCCUUGAUAUGCCUCAUUCUACAAUCCACAUAUCAGUGCCUCCUAAAUUCGGAAAGUCAGUGAACCUGGACAUGUUGAGACUUUACUUGGAAUGUGAAGAAUCAACCCCCAAGUACCAGUUUACCGAUCCGCUCUUCCGCGGCACGACAUUCCGUAGAAAUCCACACUUUUGGGAUCACUAUCGUAAGUAUGUAGUCGUCCACGUGGACUUCAGUCCCUUCAAAAUAGUCGAGGACGUCGAAACUUUCAAUAGAAGUCUUGCUGAGGUGGUCAGCCAAAUGCACGAGAAAUACAGCAGUCAUUUAAAUUUCUCCUCUCACAGUGACGGCAAGAAGACUCCCGCUCAAGCAUUUUUGGACAACUAUAAUGAAUAUGAGUUAUCGAUCCUUGACGCAGGGAGACAUUUCAUCACGGAUAUUUCUUGGCUUUUCGGCAAAUACGUUAUCGUGCUGAUCGACAACGUUGAUGCAAUCCUCCACAACUACAUGAUGGGACCAGUGCGAGACAAAGAAAAAAUCCACAAUUAUUUCGGCCAGUUCUUGCGGGGGCUAGUUCAAGACUCACCACACGUUAAGAAAUCCUUAAUGGUAGGGUCUCUGACCCUGGGUGGUGUCUUGUCCACCUUGACGAACGAUACGAAACACCUGUUCGCCUUUGAGAACGGAACCAUCGCCCAGUAUUUCGGAUUCACCGGACAGGAUGUCGACAACCUCCUCGACACUUUCGCGAUCCGCGAGAAGAACGCCCAAUUGCGAAGCUUGUACAUGGGCUACAAGGUGCUAGACUCUCCGGAUCUAACCCUCUACAACCCUCUUUCUAUCACCAAUUUCCUCGAGCAGAGGUGGCAUACGAACAGUUCAAAUUUAUUCAAAGGUCUCGACGGCUGUGAUCGUAUCUUGGAGAAUGGCGUGAUCGGUCGAGAGGUCGAACGCGUGUUGUACAGGGUGCAAAAGAAAAAGGUACACCUCCCUCGCAGAUACACCUUCAGCAACGGAAGACUGGGUGUCCGCAACACGUAGACCGCCUACACCGCGGCAUGCGCUCCAAGAUCAACACCUUCGCAAGCGUGGACGACAUCAACCUUUUCAUGCAGUACCUCUUCGAGCUGGGCUACUUUAGCAUCGUUUACGCUCGAGUCGUGACGUCAGAACUCGACAUGGUGACCACUAUCGAGGACAUUGUCUUGAUUACCGCCACCUUGGAGGCUCGCAAAGUGUUGAGGAAGUACUUGACCGCCUCCAACUACUACCAGUUCGUGCUGGGUAAAACCUGGGACCAGCUGAAUGCGUUCGGGGAGUUCCUGCUGGACCUGCCCGGUAAAGAGGUCUUCCACGACCUGGCGGUGGCCACGCAUAAGAUCUUCAACCGGACCUGGGACGAGGUGAGCUGGCCGGUCUCCAUGACGGGGACCAUGGAGGCGAUAUUCGCGCACAACGCUACCCUGGCCAAGCAGUAUCCUGCCGUCCGCUUCGAGCUGGUCGUUGAACGGGAAGCUGACGGUUUCCAUUGUUCCAACGAGUUGGACGUGUUCCUCGUCACGGGCAAGAGCGUCGGGAUCAUCAUCAAAAAUCAGCAGGGGAUCGAGCACAAGUUGGCAUCGAACACCUUUUACUCGAUGCUGGACCGAGGGUGUGAGGACGUGUACGAACAUAUGCGCCCGAGGAUCCUGGUCAAGACUAAGAUAGCCAUGCUUAUCAAUUUGACCCCGUCACGCCAUUGCGAGAUCUUCUACCGCGUGAGUGACCAGAAGCAGGGCGACCCGUUGUGGGGGUUCGCCCAGCACCCGCCCGGGAGAUCCUCGAAUUUGAGGAGACCAAGAAACCUGACGACCCCGACAUGAAGUCCUAGUUCGACAUGGAGACCCAGAAGAUGCUCGAGGAGGGCAUGCGGAAGAGCCAAAAUUAUAACGUCUCAUUUGGACUAGGGGUCUAGCUACAAGUCGAACUUUUCCUCUCCCGGUAAUGCCCGGCUAGAAUCUACUUUCUCGGCAAACUUUUAUGUAUAGACAAACAAACACACAUGCACAUACAGGGUGAUCCAAAAGUCCCUUCCACCCCCUCCAACUGUUUACCGAAUUGAGGUAAAGAUUUGAAACUUGCGGAAUGUUCCUAGAUCAAAGGAAGCUACUUUUUGGCCCCCCUAAAAUUUUCAGGGGGCUCCGGGGCUCCCCUUGGGAAGCAACGGACCCCAACUUUUUUUUCAAGUGAGAAGGCCCCCUUCGUGAUAGCUCGUUCGAAAGAACAUACAAACAAGCAGUGAACUCCAACACAAUGUGUUGAUAAGGCGCGUCAUUAACUCGCACAUAUCAACCCCUUUAGUUUUCAUUUACAGAGAUUUCAAAAUAGGCAAGCAGCACAACAAGAGAAUUCACGAUCCAACACUGCGAGGUCAACGACGCACCUUGACGAGACCGUGUAUUGUGAAUGUAAAAGCCUAGCCAUUCGAACGAGUUUAAGUUUUUUGAUCUGCCUCCACCAAAAUCUUAUCAGAUUCUUGAAGAAAAGUGCUACGGAAUAAUUUAAGUGAAGAAAUUAACGAAAAAUUCUGUCGAAAUCCUGAAAGAUAAAGUCGAUUUAAUGGUAUUUUGGGGCUAAAAUACCCUAAUCACCGGUAGUAUAAAUCCCGUUUUAUUAUUGAAAAGAAAUUGACUCGAUAAAAAUGCAAUUGCAGUAAAUAUGCCUUGAUUUUGUAAUUUUAACCGUCUUUCCGUGCAAAGAAGUUCAACCAUAUCCAUGCUUUAUUCAUUCAUGAAUUAAAAGUAAGCGAUCUACAUCCCGAAAAUCUACCGAUUUGCCGUAAAAAAUUGCAGAAACCUGAUUUUCCAGGUCGAUGUACCCAUUCGUUAGUCGUAUGAAUAUGAUCUUAGGCCAGUAAAAUGUCCAACAGCGUUGCACGAUGGUGCAGAAAAAUACGAAUUAAAUUAUAGCGUUGUAUGGUGAUUAUUGUUCAAUAUGGCAACGCUGUAAAAAAGAAGUAUUGCAUGUAGCCCCUUCAAUAUGCGGGUUAUGCAAUGGUGUACGUUGCCCCUUCAAGGUGGUGGUUAUGCAACAGCGUUGCAGGACGGUGCACAUAAAUAAAUUAUUUAAUUAUUGGUGAAAUUUUGCAACAUCGAAUUUUACAGUGUUGCCGGAUGGGGCAAGAAAUUAGUUAAUUUUUCGAUACAAUGUUAUCAGAUUGUGCAAAAAAUCGGAUUUUCGGACUUGUAAAAAUUGUCGGCUUCGAUAGACCUUUUGCUCCAGGAUGGUCUGGUAUUGGGUACCGGAGAGUAGGGUCUGAUUCGGAAAAUUAAAAAUUUUUCGGAAAAUUAGCCUCCUCCGAUCCGGCCCGGACCGAUGCGAAUCUUUUACACUAUCGAAGAUUGGAAAACUGUACGGACCGAAUUUUGAUACGAUUUUUUGUUUUCGAGAUUUCGGACUUGUAAAAUUUUCGAUAGACCAUUGUUUAUACCAGCCUCCUCUAUCUACACAUUUUUAGACUUUUUGGGGCAUUUUUUAUUUCCAUUUUUUUGAGGAAUUUGGCAAUCGGCUGGUGCCAGAGUGGCACGUGCCGCCGGACCGUUCGCUGCGUACUGCUUACGCAACCGAUCCCGCGUCGCACGCACUCAUCACGCGGGCACACGUCGCGUCGCGCGCUCUUAUCACGCGGCCGCGCGUCGCGUCGCGGCUAUAAAAGGCGAGCGGCCGCGCGUCUCAUUGCCAGUCGCAGCUCAACCGCCAGAAGAGAAACUACCUACGGUAAGUGCCUCCAUGUACCUACACUUCCACUUCAUCGGCGCGCUGGUCCAACUCUAGCGAGCUCUCCACGGCUCCAACGACUUGCGGCGGGUCUUCCAUGCCCACAUCGCCCGGAGCGCUACCGCACUGGGCCAGCCCGAGGAGCCGUCUCUUGGGGACUCUUCAGCGUUUCCAAGCGCAAAACACAGCUGUGGACUUCCAUGUCCAGAUCGCCUGGAGUGCUAUCACACUGGGCCAGCCCGACCGAGCUAUCUCGUGGGGUGUUCUAAGCGCUUCCAAGCGCACAAACCAGGUCCUCUACAGGACAGCUGGCGUUCGUCCUCUCUGUCUCCGGACCAGCGCUAGCCGCCACUGAAAGGCGCACUCCUUUUCAUGGUGCCGAAACCCGGGAACUAUUCGUUGAAUAGUUCUCUGUACGAAACUUAAAAUUAGCACUCCCAAUUGAAAUUUAUGCUAUUUAAUUUUCCUACUAGAAAAUUUCAUUCUACUUAAUUUUCCUAAGAAAAUUACUCAACUAAAAUUUUCAGGAAAAAUUAUUCAACUGAAUUU
rnacentral:lncRNA from 1 species